UGGGGAAUUUUGGACAAUGGGGGAAACCCUGAUCCAGCCAUCCCGCGUGUGCGAUGAAGGCCUUCGGGUUGUAAAGCACUUUUUGCAGGAAAGAAACGUCAUGGGUUAAUACCCCGUGAAACUGACGGUACCUGCAGAAUAAGCACCGGCUAACUACGUGCCAGCAGCCGCGGUCAUACGUAGGGUGCAAGCGUUAAUCGGAAUUACUGGGCGUAAAGCGUGCGCAGGCGGUUCGGAAAGAAAGAUGUGAAAUCCCAGAGCUCAACUUUGGAACUGCAUUUUUAACUACCGGGCUAGAGUGUGUCAGAGGGAGGUGGAAUUCCGCGUGUAGCAGUGAAAUGCGUAGAUAUGCGGAGGAACACCGAUGGCGAAGGCAGCCUCCUGGAAUAACACUGACGCUCAGGCACGAAAGCGUGGGGAGCAAACAGG
rnacentral:rRNA from 1 species